UCAAGGAGAAGGCCAGCCAGGAGGGGAGGGAUGGUGAGGAGGCCUUGUCACGGUACAGCCCUGACACCGUGAGAUACGCCCUGGGUCACCAAAGUCACUGUAAUGGUCCAGGAAGCCCAAACCCCAGCAGGCCUACCUCUUGUGUCUCAGUCCAGUCCAGCAGCC